CCUGUAUUCCCUGGUUAGGUAUUGGCUAUGCAGGUCAACUGAUUUUGGUGUACAGCUGCAUGUGUUAUAUCAUUCUCCUGGCCUGGGCACUGUUCUACUUGGUGUUCUCCUUCAGCUCCCAGCUGCCCUGGGCCACCUGCCUCAACACCUGGAACACAGGCAGUUGCAUCUUUGCUGCAAAAAAAUUCACAAGGUCAGGACAGGUCAAACUAAUCAACAUCAGUGGCCACUAAGUUCUGGGAGCGCAGAGUGCUGGACAUCUCUGGUGGAAUGGAAGAACUGGGUAAGGUCAACUGGGAGAUCCUCCUCUGUCUGAUUGCAAUGUGGGACGUCUGCUAUUUCUGCAUCUGGAAGGGUGUUAAGUCCACUG